UACGAAGGGGGCUAGCGUUGCUCGGAAUCACUGGGCGUAAAGCGCACGUAGGCGGCUUUCUAAGUCAGGGGUGAAAUCCUGGAGCUCAACUCCAGAACUGCCUUUGAUACUGGAGAGCUUGAGUCCGGGAGAGGUGAGUGGAACUCCGAGUGUAGAGGUGAAAUGCGUAGAUAUCUGGAGGAACACCGGUGGCGAAGGCGGCAUCCUGGACCAUAACUGACACUGAUAAGCGAAAGCCAGGGGAGCAAACGGG
rnacentral:rRNA from 1 species